GGUAAAAUGGCUGAUAAUAGGCGAUAAAUUGUAAAUUUAUUUAUGAAUGUAUUAUUCUUUUACCA
rnacentral:tRNA from 1 species